UUGCCUACGGGACGCAGCAGUGAGGAAUAUUGGUCAAUGGUCGGGAGACUGAACCAGCCAAGCCGCGUGAGGGAUGAAGGUACAGAGUAUCGUAAACCUCUUUUGUCAGGGAACAAAGGCGGGGACGCGUCCCCGGAUGAGUGUACCUGAAGAAAAAGCAUCGGCUAACUCCGUGCCAGCAGCCGCGGUAAUACGGAGGAUGCGCGCGUUAUCCGGAUUUAUUGGGUUUAAAGGGUGCGCAGGCGGUCUGUUAAGUCAGCGGUCCAAACCCGGGGCGCAACCCCGGCCCUCCG
rnacentral:rRNA from 1 species